AACGCUUGGAGGUAAACCCCAUAAGGCUGAGCUUGGUGUGCCGUUUACAACCAUAGCAUUUGGUCUUCUGCUUUCCAAGUCUCACAGCAUCUCCACCACUUACAGCCACGAUGAAGCGUGUCAGGAUCUCACACCAACAUUAUGGAGUCUCCCUCUGGAAGGCUUUGGGAAGCUAUUCUCUAUCUGUUUUAACGCAUACAUAUUAAGAAUGAUGGUUUAGAUAUUUACCAGAGAAAAAUGGAAGGAGUGUAUUUUU
rnacentral:lncRNA from 1 species